GAGGUCUAACGGCCGGUCGGGCAGCGUU
rnacentral:sRNA from 1 species